AUUGAACGCUGGCGGCAGGCUUAACACAUGCAAGUCGAGCGGUAACAUUUCUAGCUUGCUAGAAGAUGACGAGCGGCGGACGGGUGAGUAAUACUUAGGAAUCUACCUAGUAGUGGGGGAUAGCUCGGGGAAACUCGAAUUAAUACCGCAUACGACCUACGGGAGAAAGGGGGCAACUUGUUGCUCUCGCUAUUAGAUGAGCCUAAGUCGGAUUAGCUAGAUGGUGGGGUAAAGGCCUACCAUGGCGACGAUCUGUAGCUGGUCUGAGAGGAUGAUCAGCCACACCGGGACUGAGACACGGCCCGGACUCCUACGGGAGGCAGCAGUGGGGAAUAUUGGACAAUGGGGGAAACCCUGAUCCAGCCAUGCCGCGUGUGUGAAGAAGGCCUUUUGGUUGUAAAGCACUUUAAGCAGUGAAGAAGACUCUUCGGUUAAUACCCGGAGACGAUGACAUUAGCUGCAGAAUAAGCACCGGCUAACUCUGUGCCAGCAGCCGCGGUAAUACAGAGGGUGCAAGCGUUAAUCGGAAUUACUGGGCGUAAAGCGAGCGUAGGUGGCUUGAUAAGUCAGAUGUGAAAUCCCCGGGCUUAACCUGGGAACUGCAUCUGAUACUGUUAGGCUAGAGUAGGUGAGAGGAAGGUAGAGUUCCAGGUGUAGCGGUGAAAUGCGUAGAGAUCUGGAGGAAUACCGAUGGCGAAGGCAGCCUUCUGGCAUCAUACUGACACUGAGGCUCGAAAGCGUGGGUAGCAAACAGG
rnacentral:rRNA from 1 species